rnacentral:rRNA from 1 species
AGUGAACGCUGGCGGUAGGCCUAACACAUGCAAGUCGAACGGCAGCACAGUAAGAGCUUGUUCUUACGGGUGGCGAGUGGCGGACGGGUGAGGAAUACAUCGGAAUCUACUUUUUCGUGGGGGAUAACGUAGGGAAACUUACGCUAAUACCGCAUACGACCUACGGGUGAAAGCAGGGGAUCAUCGGACCUUGCGCGAUUGAUUGAGCCGAUGUCGGAUUAGCUAGUUGGCGGGGUAAAGGCCCACCAAGGCGACGAUCCGUAGCUGGUCUGAGAGGAUGAUCAGCCACACUGGAACUGAGACACGGUCCAGACUCCUACGGGAGGCAGCAGUGGGGAAUAUUGGACAAUGGGCGCAAGCCUGAUCCAGCCAUACCGCGUGGGUGAAGAAGGCCUUCGGGUUGUAAAGCCCUUUUGUUGGGAAAGAAAAGCAGCAGGUUAAUACCCCGCUGUUCUGACGGUACCCAAAGAAUAAGCACCGGCUAACUUCGUG